rnacentral:rRNA from 1 species
AUUGAACGCUGGCGGCAGGCCUAACACAUGCAAGUCCAGCGGAUGAAGGGAGCUUGCUCCUGGAUUCAGCGGCGGACGGGUGAGUAAUGCCUAGGAAUCUGCCUGGUAGUGGGGGAUAACGUCCGGAAACGGGCGCUAAUACCGCAUACGUCCUGAGGGAGAAAGUGGGGGAUCUUCGGACCUCACGCUAUCCGAUGAGCCUAGGUCGGAUUAGCUAGUUGGUGGGGUAAAGGCCUACCAAGGCGACGAUCCGUAACUAGACUGAGAGGAUGAUCAGUCACACUGGAACUGAGACACGGUCCAGACUCCUACGGGAGGCAGCAGGCGGUAAUAUUCAGCGUCGGGCGAAAGCCUGAUACAACCAUGCCGAGCGUGUGAAUAAGGUCUUUGAAUCGUAAAGCUCGUAGUGUGGGGAGGAAGAGCAGUAGGUUAAUAAAAUGCUGUGUUGACGUUACCAACAGAGUAAGGACCGGCAAAAUGUGUA